rnacentral:rRNA from 1 species
UGGGGAAUUUUCCGCAAUGGGCGCAAGCCUGACGGAGCAAGACCGCGUGCGGGAGGACGGCCUAUUGGUUGUAAACCGCUUUUGAUAGGGAAGAAGCUCUGACGGUACCUAUCGAAUCAGCAUCGGCUAACUCCGUGCCAGCAGCCGCGGUAAUACGGAGGAUGCAAGCGUUAUCCGGAAUUAUUGGGCGUAAAGCGUCCGUAGGUGGUUGUUCAAGUCUGCUGUUAAAGCGUGCGGCUUAACCGCAUACCAGCAGUGGAAACUGGACGACUAGAGUGCGGUAGGGGUCAGGGGAAUUCCCAGUGUAGCGGUGAAAUGCGUAGAUAUUGGGAAGAACACCGGUGGCGAAAGCGCCUGACUGGACCUGCACUGACAUGAGGGACGAAAGCUAGGGGAGCGAAUGGGAUUA